GGCUCCUCAGGCUCAAGCACAACCUGGAAAAACGAAGGUGUUAAUGUUCCAUGAGGCAACUGAUGACCAAUGGGGAGCAGGAGCUGGUGAAUGAAUGUUCCCUUCAUCCAUCCUGCAGGUAACAGUUCUGAAGUCCAUCCUUUGCAGAUCCUCAAGUGGUCCAUGUUUGGUGGAGCUCCAGUGGCCCACAGAAGGGAACAACUCAGUAUUUAUUUUAUAUUGACUCUCUCCCCUUCACUGUUUCCCUCUUUUCCAGUCCUGCUCCAUAAGCCUUGGGAUCACUUCCUAAAUAAAUCAUGAUCUUCAAGCCCUAUCUCAGGUUCUGCUUUCCUGGGGAAGUCCCAAAUUAAGACAGUAGUGUUUGACCUGGGUUUUGAAAAUUGAGCAUGAGUUUUUUAAGUGGAGAAAUAGAGAUAGAGAAAGAACAUUCCAGGCAAAGGGAGAAACAUGAGCAAAGGUCAGUGGGCAUGAACGGUACAGAAUGUGUUUAGGGAUUAGCAGUAAUAUACUGUGGCUGAAGCAUGGGGUAUACAGAGAGUCUGAGGAGGAGAUUACUGGUGGGAAGUUUUGUUGGUUGAGAAACACCUAUCAGAUAUACUGAGCUAAGAAUACUGGAAAAAUGUUCACCCAAAAUUAUGUUUGUUGUUUGCUUUCCUCUCGAGCUUCUACAUUGUUCUUCAUCUCUGGGAAAUCAGUGACCCAUGGACUGGACAAUAACUUUGAGCCAUGCAGUCAAAAUAAAAUGGAAUAUUUAAGUGAAAGAUCAGGUUCUGGAAAAUAAAACUGCUCGUAGCUGCAUAUUAUCUACCGGUGAGUAAAACAAGUUUACUGCCACCAUCUUAGUGUGACUAAAAGAGGGAGAUCCUAAAGAAUUUCAAGGAAAUAAAGAAAAGUAAAUGGAAAUGGAUUGUGUAAUAUUCGUUAUUAUUGAUUAAAUAACUUAGGUGGAUUCUCAGAAAGAAAAAGGUGAUGUUCACUGGCAUGAACAGUGAAUGGUGGAGUGGAACGUGAACAGGCUGGAGCUCUGGCUGUGCCAUUUAUUAGCCAUGUGCCUUUAGAAGGUCCUCAUCUUCUCCAGCCUCAGUUUCACCAUCUGUAAUGGUAGGUAAGAACCUCUACUUCAGAAGGCUGUUGGAAAGACGAAAUGGUAUGAGACAAAAUGAAAUAAUGACAUCCUAAGUGGAAAGGGCUCGCCUGGGGUCUGGUUAACAAGUAUCACUGCCUCAGGUAACAGUCUUUCUCAGCAGUGCUGCAUACAAACCUCCUCUGGCUUUGACCUUAACAGCCAUUGUAGGUCAGUGUUCA
rnacentral:lncRNA from 1 species